rnacentral:rRNA from 1 species
UACGUAGGGGGCAAGCGUUGUCCGGAAUCAUUGGGCGUAAAGAGCGUGUAGGCGGCCUGGUAAGUCCGCUGUGAAAGUCCAGGGCUCAACCCUGGGAUGCCGGUGGAAACUGUCAGGCUCGAGUCCGGAAGAGGCGAGUGGAAUUCCUGGUGUAGCGGUGAAAUGCGCAGAUAUCAGGAGGAACACCAAUGGCGAAGGCAGCUCGCUGGGACGGUACUGACGCUGGAGACGCGAAAGCGUGGGGAGCAAAUAGG